CCCAAUAUUUAGGGGGAGCAUGAAGAUCGGAAGUUGAAGCCAUCCUAAACUGCACAGUCAGACUCCUGCUUGAUUCUGCUAAAGCUUGGUGAUCACUAAGAAGUAUGUCUACCUAAUGUAACACCUUCCUGGCAAGGCUGGCCCACUCAA